UCGGGCCGCCAGAGGUCUGUGUGAAGGACAGAUCCAGUGUGGGGAGAAAGUAGCCUGCAACAGGAGGCUAAGAAGAAGCUCCACUGGAUGAAUGCUGACAUUAGUGGUCCCUGCGGAUGUUUGAGAGUGGCAGCAGGUCCCAAGCUUGUCCAAGGCCCAUUCUCCAUCAUGAGGGAUGGCCACACAGUAAGCCAUCCCUAUUAACCUAGAGCUGACCCAGCCUGGACCCCCAAGAGCUGAUAUAGCAGGAGUCUCUGGGAAACAGGACCCCCAGCUCUUGCCUCCCCUGAGAAGAGCCCCACCUAGACCCUGGAGUCCAGAAGCAGGUGCUACACUUAACUUUUAUCCAGGGGAAUCUUUCAUCAGACUUCUAACCCUGGACAGGAUUGCAAGAUGGACGCAGGGUUGUUGCUGUGAGUCCCUGAGUUUGGGCAGUUUGUUAUAGCUUCAAUAGGAAACACAUGCCCGUGCUGAGCCCUUUGUGAGUGCCUGGCACACAAUAAAAGCGCAACAGA